GCAAACUUGAGAGUUUCCAUAUAACUUAGAGGCUUCACUACACCCUCUAGGAUUCACCAAACCACACUUAAUCCGAGAUUUACUUACCAUAUUUGUACCCGUUUGGCCACAAUGCACAACGGCUCCUUCCUUCUUUGUUUGUGUGUGUGUUUAAGGUUCUCACUAAAAUCAAAAAGCUUUCAAAACACUCCACAUAUUCCUCAAAACGUUCCAGAUACAAGCUCAAUCAUAUCUCACCUCUUUGGCCAAGGAUUUUACCAUAAAGACUCCAACGACUAGUUUUUAAUUAACAUCGCAUAUCUUCUUUCUUUGUUUAGAUUUUAGAAAAUUGUAC
rnacentral:lncRNA from 1 species